rnacentral:rRNA from 1 species
AAUGAACGCUGGCGGCAUGCCUUACACAUGCAAGUCGAACGGCAGCAUGACCUAGCUUGCUAGGUUGAUGGCGAGUGGCGAACGGGUGAGUAAUGCAUCGGAACGUGCCUUUUAGUGGGGGAUAACGUAGCGAAAGUUACGCUAAUACCGCAUAUUCUCUGAGGAGGAAAGCAGGGGACCUUCGGGCCUUGCGCUAGAAGAGCGGCCGAUGUCGGAUUAGCUAGUUGGUGAGGUAAAGGCUCACCAAGGCAACGAUCCGUAGCGGGUCUGAGAGGAUGAUCCGCCACACUGGGACUGAGACACGGCCCAGACUCCUACGGGAGGCAGCAGUGGGGAAUUUUGGACAAUGGGCGCAAGCCUGAUCCAGCCAUGCCGCGUGAGUGAAGAAGGCCUUCGGGUUGUAAAGCUCUUUCGGCUGGGAAGAAAUCGCACCCUCUAAUACAGGGUGUGGAUGACGGUACCAGCAUAAGAAGCACCGGCUAACUACGUA